rnacentral:rRNA from 1 species
AUCGAACGCUGGCGGCAGGCUUAACACAUGCAAGUCGAGCGAGCGGCGGACGGGUGAGUAAUGUAUGGGAAACUGCCCGAUGGAGGGGGAUAACUACUGGAAACAGUGGCUAAUACCGCAUACCAUCAGAUGUGCCCAGAUUGGAUUAGCUAGUAGGUGGGGUAAUGGCUCACCUAGGCGACGAUCCCUAGCUGGUCUGAGAGGAUGACCAGCCACACUGGAACGGAGCAACGGUCCAGACUCCUACGGGAGGCAGCAGUGGGGAAUAUUGCACAAUGGGGGCAAGCCUUAUGCAGCCAUGCCGCGUGUGUGAAGAAGGCCUUCGGGUUGUAAAGUACUUUCAGCGGGGAGGCGUUACUCGCAGAAGAAGCACCGGCUAACUCCGUGCCAGCAGCCGCGGUAAUUC